rnacentral:rRNA from 1 species
UUUUCCUACGGGGCGCAGCAGUGGGGUAUAUUGCACAAUGGGGGAAACCCUGAUGCAGCGACGCCGCGUGAGUGAAGAAGUAUUUCGGUAUGUAAAGCUCUAUCAGCAGGGAAGAAAAAAGACGGUACCUGACUAAGAAGCCCCGGCUAACUACGUGCCAGCAGCCGCGGUAAUACGUAGGGGGCAAGCGUUAUCCGGAAUUACUGGGUGUAAAGGGUGCGGAGGUGGCAUGGUAAGUCAGAAGUGAAAGCCCG